rfam:Triticum urartu cultivar G1812 contig1161199, whole genome shotgun sequence.
AAUGUACUCCCUCCGUCCGGAAAUACUUGUCAUCAAGAUGAAUAAAAGGGGAUGUAUUUAGAUGUAUUUUAGUUCUAGAUACACCUCUUUUUAUCCAUUUUCAUGACAAGUAUUUCCGGACGGAGGGAGUAUGUG